ACUUUGCUGAGUUUACUGGGUCUCCCCAAGAGCCACUCACCCCUCAGUAGUCGUUGCUCUUGCAAUAAGGCUCACUGUGUACACUGAUCGGCCCACACCUUCCCCCACCAACAGGAAUAUCCUGGAACACUACCCUCACCGCUCCCACACCCAGCAGUGUCCUGAAUGCUUGCUUAGCACCAUCCCAGAUGUCAAGGUUCUAGGGCAAACGUCACGAGUGGGUUUGGAAAUCCGAGGAAGCCAGGGCUCGUAAAUUGAUGGGGAAAUGGGGCCUGGGCUCGCGUGAAGGCAGUGUCAUCCCCAAGCGCCAUCAAACCGAGAAGGAGUUUACCAGCCCAGCAGAUGAGUAAAACCUGAAGUUUGAGGAAGGGCAGAUGCUUCCUAUUGUGACUAGGGCCGAGCACGCCCCAAUCGUAGGCCACCUCAUGGUUUCCAAGAGGGAUUGGAGACGUAUAAAAGGUUUGCAGUCUCAGAGCAUCCCCAAAGCCUCAGCAUCUCCACGUUCCAGCCACUGGUGAACUCGGUGCACAUCCAGACCAGAAUGUAUCAUCAACAGCAGAAGCUGUGCUGCCCCCUACCAAAGUAUUGCUGCCCACCAUCCCAGCAAUUCUGCCCCCCACCAAAGUAUUGCUGCCCCGCACCCCAGCAGUGCUGCCCACUACCAAAGUAUUGCUGUCCCGCACCCCAGCAGUACUGUCCCCCUCUCCAGUACUACUGCCCCCCACCAAAGCGGUGCUAGACCCCCCUCAGAACGCCAAGCAGCCUUGCCAGCCUCCACCUACGUGCAAGGUGCCCUGUGUCCCGAAGUGCCAGCACAAGUGCCCACGCCCUCCGCAAUGCCUGGUGUCCAAGCAGAAGUCCUCCCUGGCCAUGAGAUCUGAGGCCAAGCUCCCUGGAGAACAGAGACCAUGAAGCCCAUUGUCCUCUCUCAGCCAGCCAGCUGUCAGCGCCAGUCUCGCCCGGCUUCUGGAGGCAGCCACACUUCGGGAAAGCAGCACCAGGUUGGCGGCUUUCUGGAUCAAGAUUUCGUAUUAAUUAGCAGCUGCAAGUUCCAUCUCAGAAAAGGAUCUCUUUCUAAACCAUCUAAUCUUCUCUGCUGCCUUGUAUCGACUUUGCCCUGUCGGCUUCUUGGAAACUUAAGCAGCGUGGCGGGACAUGCGUUCCUAGCACCCUUCGUUUCUACUCUAGUUUUCCCAACUAUUACACACAAUUCCUUUGGCA